rnacentral:misc_RNA from 1 species
AACCAUUCUCACCUGCGGCUAGACCUGCGGAGGGAUCAUUAUUGAAUCAAAAUUGCGAAAAUUGAGGAGGCCAUAGCGGGAGAAACACCCCCAGGGAACUGAGAAUAGGCCGCAAGGCCGCAAUGUAGACCAACGUUCCAAUCUUUUGUGGGUGUUUUGGCUUGUUUGUGGCAGCCUUCUUUUUCACUAAACCGCAAGUCGGUUUAUCCUUGUCUAUGAGCACUCUUGUUUCCUCGGCGG